rnacentral:misc_RNA from 1 species
GAAAAAGCCAAAACUGAUAAAGUAGACAAUAAUAAUACUACAGAGAAGGAGAUUGUCACUCAGAAACAGAAAAAUAGAAGGAUUAAGGAUAAAAAGGAAACAUUCACUGAGGAGUCGUCCACUCAGCUUCCAAUAUGCCAAACAACAAAAAGAAGCAGAAGAAAGUUAAACCUACCAAAUGAUUAUUGUAAUGAUGAAAGCACUUCAAUGGGGAGUGAAUGUGACAGCAAGCAAGUAAGUGGUGAUGGAGAGGUUCCUAUGUUGAGGAGACAGAAACAGAAAACGAAGAAUUCCAAGACUGAGAGAGUUGCUGAGAUGGAAGAGUCCACAACAACAGCAAGUGAUAGAUGCGGCUUAAGGAAGAGAAAAU